rnacentral:rRNA from 1 species
UACGUAGGGUGCAAGCGUUGUCCGGAAUUAUUGGGCGUAAAGAGCUCGUAGGCGGUCUGUCGCGUCAGCUGUGAAAACCCGCAGCUCAACUGUGGGCUUGCAGCUGAUACGGGCAGGCUUGAGUUCGGUAGGGGAGACUGGAAUUCCUGGUGUAGCGGUGAAAUGCGCAGAUAUCAGGAGGAACACCGGUGGCGAAGGCGGGUCUCUGGGCCGAUACUGACGCUGAGGAGCGAAAGCGUGGGGAGCGAACAGG